GAUGGCUCACAGGUUAAGAGCUCUGGUUUGCUAUUCCAGAGGACCUAGGUUUGAUUCCCAGCAUCC
rnacentral:tRNA from 1 species